rnacentral:rRNA from 1 species
UACGUAGGGUGCAAGCGUUUAAUCGGAAUUACUGGGCGUAAAGCGUGCGCAGGCGGUGAUGUAAGACAGAUGUGAAAUCCCCGGGCUCAACCUGGGAACUGCAUUUGUGACUGCAUCGCUGGAGUGCGGCAGAGGGGGAUGGAAUUCCGCGUGUAGCAGUGAAAUGCGUAGAUAUGCGGAGGAACACCGAUGGCGAAGGCAAUCCCCUGGGCCUGCACUGACGCUCAUGCACAAAGCGUGGGGAGCAAACAGG